AGCAAGGCACUUAGCCCUAAUUGCUCCUGUAUGUCGCUCUGGAUAAGAGCAUCUGCUAAAUGUAAAUGUUGUCUCAGUGUAUUGUCUUCAGUCUUUUAAGUACUGUGUUUAUCCGAGUAAAGAGCUAGUUUCAUUAGAGAGGUGCUUAAUAGCUACUGAAGACUAUAGAUAAAGUGAAACAUAGAAGCUCACCUCACCAAUGUGAAGACGACCGCAUGAGAUGUUAUUGGAAUGAAGUGCUGUCAGUUUUGAAAUGUACCAAAAGGAUUGCUGUUUGGUGUUGGUCGUCAAGGCCUUUGCUUUGAGGAGGAGUUUGUCUAGCCAUUAAGAGUUAAGAAUGUUGGAGAAAAAUAUAAUUUUUUAUUUUGCACUGGAAUUUUCACACAAAGCCGUCAGAAAUAAUCGUGAAGGUAAAAGACACAGCAAGCACAGGCCUCUGGGUGACUCACAGAAUAUUCAAUUCAGGUGUUGGGGAACAUGCUGACUGCUAGAGAGAAUAUUCUAUUCAGGUGUUGGGGAACAUGCUGACUGCUAGAGAGGAUAGUCUAUUCAGGUGUUGGGGAACAUGCUGACUGCUAGAGAGGAUAGUCUAUUCAGGUGUUGGGGAACAUGCUGACUGCUAGAGAGAAUAGUCUAUUCAGGUGUUGGGGAACAUGCUGACUGCUAGAGAGAAUAGUCUAUUCAGGUGUUGGGGAACAUGCUGACUGCUAGAGAGGAUAGUCUAUUCAGGUGUUGGGGAACAUGCUGACUGCUAGAGAGGAUAGUCUAUUCAGGUGUUGGGGAACAUGCUGACUGCUAGAGAGGAUAGUCUAUUCAGGUGUUGGGGAACAUGCUGACUGCUAGAGAGGAUAGUCUAUUCAGGUGUUGGGGAACAUGCUGACUGCUAGAGAGAAUAGUCUAUUCAGGUGUUGGGGAACAUGCUGACUGCUAGAGAGGAUAGUCUAUUCAGGUGUUGGGGAACAUGCUGACUGCUAGAGAGAAUAGUCUAUUCAGGUGUUGGGGAACAUGCUGACUGCUAGAGAGAAUAGUCUAUUCAGGUGUUGGGGAACAUGCUGACUGCUAGAGAGAAUAGUCUAUUCAGGUGUUGGGGAACAUACUGCCUCCUAGAGAGAAUAGUCUAUUCAGGUGUUGGGGAACAUACUGCCUGCUAGAGAGAAUAGUCUAUUCAGGUGUUGGGGAACAUACUGCCUCCUAGAGAGAAUAGUCUAUUCAGGUGUUGGGGAACAUACUGCCUGCUAGAGAGAAUAGUCUAUUCAGGUGUUGGGGAACAUACUGCCUCCUAGAGAGAAUAGUCUAUUCAGGUGUUGGGGAACAUACUGCCUCCUAGAGAGAAUAGUCUAUUCAGGUGUUGGGGAAACAUACUGCCUCCUAGAGAGAAUAGUCUAUUCAGGUGUUGGGGAACAUACUGCCUCCUAGAGAGAAUAGUCUAUUCAGGUGUUGGGGAACAUACUGCCUCCUAGAGAGAAUAGUCUAUUCAGGUGUUGGGGAACAUACUGCCUCCUAGAGAGAAUAGUCUAUUCAGGUGUUGGGGAACAUACUGCCUCCUAGAGAGAAUAGUCUAUUCAGGUGUUGGGGAACAUACUGCCUCCUAGAGAGAAUAGUCUAUUCAGGUGUUGGGGAACAUACUGCCUCCUAGAGAGAAUAGUCUAUUCAGGUGUUGGGGAACAUACUGCCUCCUAGAGAGAAUAGUCUAUUCAGGUCAGUGGAGGCUGCUUAGGUGAGGACGGCUCAUAAUAAAGCUUUUUUAAUGGCUUCUGCUCUAAGACUACACAGUACAUUGCACACAGUGAGUUCAUAGAGUAGCCGCUGUAUGAGUAAUGGACCUGCCGGUUCUGUUAGAAGGUUGAAGGUCUUUGCAUGGUUUGUUAAAGAAGUCCAGUGUAUCUGAAUCUGACGGCAGAAAAUAAAUGUAACCUGAGAGAUUAGGUGAUGUACUGUAGAGAACAACCUGUCGAAAUCAAUAAAAAGUAAGAAAUGUUUUAA